UAAACCACUGUGCUUCCGAAGAUUCCAUCUCGUCGAGGGCGUUGAAGCUUUCAAGCUUCUGCCUUUUAAGGUCACAAUGGAAGCUUGUGUCGGCGCUCUCCUGCCAAGAAGAUGCCUCCCUCCGCUUCAUUUUCCUGCAAAAGACAUGCAGACAUGUCCAGCGAUGAAGACUAUACCACAGUUCCAUCACUUCAACUGCAAGGUUGGGUCUUUGAGUAGAAAGCUCGGUUCUUGCAGAUUAGGAAGUGAUUUGGUGGAUAAGAAGGGAGUAGAGGACCAAAAGGAGCUCGCUUCCUCGUGGGAAUUGGAGUUCUUGGGAGAGGUUCCUCCAUCUCAGUCGGACAUCCCCAAGAAUAAGAAGCCUAGGGAAAAAUCGAGGCUGCUCGAAGAGACUGAGAGCAUGGAUUGGUGUGUGAAUGCAAGGAAGGUCGCGCUAAGAGCAAUCGAAGCCAGGGGACUGAGAGGUUCCGUGGAGAAAAUGGUGACAUCAAAGAAGAAAAAUAAGAAGAAAAAGCUUAAGGCGAGCAAGAAAGAAAAUAUUACGAAGAGAAAAAACAUGGAAGAUUUAGAGGGUGAUGAUGUUGAUGGUGUUUCUGAAGAAAUUGAUUUGGAUGAAAUGAACUGGGAAAGUGGUGGGACAAGUGAUCUUAAAAAGAGAAUCAAUUUGUUUGCAGAUGGGAUGUUCGAGGAAAGGAGGCUGAAGGCCAGGGAGGAAUUCAUCGAGAAAUUGUCACAGUUCUCGGGACCCUCAGAUAGGAAGAAAGAGAUUUCUUUGAACAAAGCGAUCGUGGAUGCUCAGACUGCAGAUGAGGUCUUGGAAGUAGCUGCUGAGACUAUUUUAGCUGUAGCUAAAGGAUUGAAACCUUCACCACUUACUCCGCUAAAUAUAGCUACAGCUCUCCACCGGAUAGCCAAGAACAUGGAAAAGGUUUCCAUGACGAGGACUCAAAGGUUGGCAUUUUCUCGUCAAAGAGAGAUGUCUAUGCUUGUAGGUAUCGCAAUGGUUGCAUUACCAGAGUGCUCUGCUCAGGGCAUCUCAAACAUUGCCUGGGCAUUGUCAAAGGUUGGUGGUGAGCUGCUUUAUUUGUCAGAGAUGGAUAGAAUUGCUGAGGUGGCACUGACCAAGGUUGAGGAGUUCAAUUCACAGAAUGUUGCGAAUAUUGCUGGAGCAUUUGCUUCGAUGCAACACUCUGCACCAGACCUGUUCUGUGAAUUAGCUAAAAGAGCAUCAGAAAUAGUUCACACGUUCAGGGAGCAAGAGCUUGCUCAACUCUUGUGGUCAUUUGCAUCUCUAAACGAGCUUGCUGAUCCUUUGCUUAAUUCACUUGAUCAUUCUUUUGAGGAUUCAGUAAGCCUUGGAUGCUACAUGAAUGCAGAAAACUUAAGUCAGCUUGAAAGUUCACAUGCCGAGGUUGAGAAUGAUGAAAAUUUUGAAAGCACAGAAAGCAGCAUUCUGGAUGUAUCUUUCAAUGGCCUUAGGUUCAGAUUUAACAGAGAUCAACUUGGUAAUAUAGCUUGGUCCUAUGCUGUGCUUGGACAAAUGAAUCGUCCAUUCUUCUCCCAUAUUUGGACUACUCUCAGCAAGUUUGAAGAGGAAAGGAUUUCGGAGCAGCAUAGGGAAGAUAUCAUGUUUGCUUCACAAGUUCAUCUGGUGAACCAGUGCUUGAAGCUUCAAUGUCCUCAUCUUGGCCUAUCUCUUAGGAGUGAUCUAGAGGAGAAGAUAUCACAAGCAGUGAAGACUAAGCGGUUCAAUCAGAAAACAACUUCUUCAUUCCAAAAGGAGGUGGCACGGCUUUUGGUUAGUACAGGCCUUGAUUGGGUCAAAGAAUACAUGGUUGAUGGAUAUACACUAGAUGCGGUGCUUGUUGAAGAAAAGCUUGCUUUUGAGAUCGAUGGACCAACACAUUUCUCGAGAAAUUUAGGUACUCCUUUAGGACACACAAUACUGAAACGACAAUAUAUUGCUGAUGCUGGUUGGAAUCUAGUUUCUCUUUCCCUUCAAGAGUGGGAGGAACUUCAAGGGGGCUUUGAGCAACUAGAGUACCUAAGGAGAAUUCUUGGUAUCGACACAGUUAAUGAGUUAGAAGAAACAACUGAGGUGCUCAAAUGAAAGCACAACCUAUUGCUGAUGAUACAUUGAUGCUGGCAGUGAUGGUUGCUGAAGGCUUCAAAUUUGUAUCUAAAUUGAAUGAUAUCCUUUCUCAAUCUCUAAGUGGGUGGUUUAGCCAGAAAUGCUGGCUCAUGUCAUCCAAAAAAUGCCCAUAAAACUGGUGGAAAUGAUGAGUUCAAUGGAUCUGCUAGUUUGGGUUUUGAACCUCCUGGAUGGUUUGUUGCAUUUGAUAUCAUAUUAGCAUAGCAAGAUGUCAUGUGAGGUUGGUUGAUAUUGCUGCUAUUCCAUUACUAUGACAAGCCAUGACAACGUAUGUGUAACCAAAUCUUUAAUGUUGGACAAAUUGGACUCCUCAGAUUUCCAACAUACCAAUCUGUAGAGCUGACAAAUGCUUAGCACACAGCAAACCUAAGUGGAGUUUGCCAGUGAAUAGUUGCUGCUUGGACUUUUGGUCCAGAUUCAUCUCAUGGACAGACUUGGGGACCAUAUUGUUGUAUCAUCCACAUUGAUUGUACUGUGUUCUGUAAUUGUCUCGCACAAAUCCGGCUUGUUGGCCUCUGAUUCAUGAAGGGUGAUUGGCAUCUGAAAACAAUUGACUUCCUUUCUGAUACAUGAGUUCAUGAACCUAAUCGGACCAAAAUUGCUUUCAUUAAUGAACUUAUUGAUUACAUUGCAGAGGAUGCUAUCCUUAUUUUGAGACACCUUUCUGUUAAGAUGCUGAUGGAUCAACAUAAGAUGUUUGAUUAAAUUUGCACAGGAUCUAUCACCAUCUUUCUGUUCAAAAGAAAAAGAAGACUAUAAUGAAGUUUGACUUUGAUGUA